GCCGGGUGUGGUGGUGCACGCCUGUAAUCCCAGGGGCCUGGGAGGCUGAGGCAGGAGAAUUGCGAGUUCAAAGCCAGCCUCAG
rnacentral:sRNA from 1 species